UAGAUGCGAGAGUAGAGCAUAUCAAUAAGCGGAGGAAAAGAAACUAACAUAGGAUUCCCUUAGUAACGGCGAGUGAAGCGGGAAGAGCUCAAAUUUGAAAUCUUCAAGGUUCUACCUUGACGAAUUGUAGUUUAUAGAAGUGUUUUCUGUUAGUGGAGUGGCAAAAGUUCUUUGGAAUAGGACAUCAUAGAGGGUGAGAAUCCCGUAUUUGGUCAUUCCUCCUAGCGUUGUGAUACACUUUCAACGAGUCGGAUUGUUUGGGAAUGCAGUCCAAAAUGGGUGGUAAAUUUCAUCUAAAGCUAAAUAUUGGCGAGAGACCGAUAGCGAACAAGUACCGUGAGGGAAAGAUGAAAAGAACUUUGAAAAGAGAGUUAAACAGUACGUGAAAUUGUCAAAAGGGAAGCGUUUGACACCAGUGUUGUUUUUCCGAAAAUCAAUUACGAAUGUUUUAUUUUUGAGAAGUUGUGACUUCAUCGGCUUGCUUCUCUCUUUAUGAAACUUUCUUAAUGCACUUUUCGGUUAACAAGUCAACAUCAAUUUCUUUUGUUGUAAAAGGGUAUGAGGAAGGUGGCUUUCUUUUCGGAGAAAGCGUUUAUAGCCUUUGACUUCUGCAGUCGGAGGGAUUGAGGUCUGCAGCGUAGAUCCUUCGGGGCUAGAUACAUUUGUGCCAAGCUAUAGCCUUUCAUAGACAACUUGUUGACUAUGAUCAGUCAUGUAGCUUACUCGCUUAUGCUAUUUUACCUACGCUUAGGAUGUUGACGCGCGUGUGUGCGUG
rnacentral:rRNA from 1 species